AAAUCCGGUACUCAUUAAGGCUGAGCUGUGAUGGGGAGAAGACAUUGUGUCUUCGAGUCGUUGAUUUCACACUGCCGAGAAAAGCCUCUAGAUAGAAAAUAGGUGCCCGUACCGCAAACCGACACAGGUAGUCAAGAUGAGAAUUCUAAGGUGAGCGAGCGAACUCUCGUUAAGGAACUCGGCAAAAUGACCCCGUAACUUCGGGAGAAGGGGUGCUCUUUAGGGUUAACGCCCAGAAGAGCCGCAGUGAAUAGGCCCAAGCGACUGUUUAUCAAAAACACAGGUCUCUGCUAAACCGUAAGGUGAUGUAUAGGGGCUGACGCCUGCCCGGUGCUGGAAGGUUAAGAGGAGUGGUUAGCUUCUGCGAAGCUACGAAUCGAAGCCCCAGUAAACGGCGGCCGUAACUAUAACGGUCCUAAGGUAGCGAAAUUCCUUGUCGGGUAAGUUCCGACCCGCACGAAAGGCGUAACGAUUUGGGCACUGUCUCAACGAGAGACUCGGUGAAAUCAUAGUACCUGUGAAGAUGCAGGUUACCCGCGACAGGACGGAAAGACCCCGUGGAGCUUUACUGUAGCCUGAUAUUGAAAUUCGGCACAGCUUGUACAGGAUAGGUAGGAGCCUUUGA
rnacentral:rRNA from 1 species